rnacentral:rRNA from 1 species
CCAAUAGCGUAUAUUAACGUUGUUGCAGUUAAAACGCUCGUAGUUGAAUUUCGGGAUUGACGUGAUGGUCAUGCCUUAAGGGGUAUGAACUGUUACUGUUGAUUUCUCACCUUCUGGAGAAACUUGAUGUCCUUUAUUGGGUGUCUUGCGGAUCCAGGACCUUUACCUUGAAAAAAUUAGAGUGUUUAAAGCAGGCAUUUUUGCUCGAAUACAUUAGCAUGGAAUAAUAGAAUAGGACGGCAUGGUUCUAUUUUGUUGGUUUCUAGGAUCACCGUAAUGAUUAAUAGGGAUAGUUGGGGGCAUUAGUAUUCAAUUGUCAGAGGUGAAAUUCUUGGAUUUAUUGAAGACUAACUACUGCGAAAGCAUUUGCCAAGGAUGUUUUCAUUAAUCAAGAACGAAAGUUAGGGGAUCGAAGACGAUCAGAUACCGUCGUAGUCUUAACCAUAAACUAUGCCGACUAGGAAUCAGACGAUGUUAAUUUUUUAAUGACUCGUUUGGCACCUUACG